AUUGAACGCUGGCGGCAGGCCUAACACAUGCAAGUCGAGCGGAUGACGGGAGCUUGCUCCUUGAAUCAGCGGCGGACGGGUGAGUAAUGCCUAGGAAUCUGCCUUGCAGUGGGGGACAACGUAUCGAAAGGAACUCUAACACCGCAUACGUCCUACGCGACAUAGCAGGGGACCUUCAGGCCUUGCGCUAUCAGAUGAACCAGGGUCGGAUUAGCUAGUAGGUGAGGUAAUGGCUCACCUAGGCGACGAUCCGUAACUGGCCUGAGAGGAUGAUCAGUCACACUGGAACUGAGACACGGUCCAGACUCCUACGGGAGGCAGCAGUGGGGAAUAUUGGACAAUGGGCGAAAGCCUGAUCCAGCCAUGCCACGUGUGUGAAGAAGGUCUUCGGAUUGUAAAGCACUUUAAGUUGGGAGGAAGGGUUGUACGUUAAUACCGUGCAAUUUUGACGUUACCGACAGAAUAAGCACCGGCUAACUCUGUGCCAGCAGCCGCAGUAA
rnacentral:rRNA from 1 species